AAUAAUUUCACAUGGGUAUAAUAACAGAGCAAGUAAAUUUGCAAUUUCAUGUAUUUGCUACAUGCUAGGAGGAAACAAAAAUGGAACAUGGUAAAGUUAAAUGGUUUAACAGUGAAAAAGGUUUUGGGUUCAUUGAGCGUGAUGGUGGGGAUGACGUAUUCGUUCACUUCUCAGCUAUUCAAGGCGAGGGUUACAAAUCAUUAGAUGAAGGUCAAGAAGUAACUUUUGACAUCGAAAAUGGUCAACGUGGUCCACAAGCGACUAACGUUCGUAAAGCAUAAAAAUAGUGAACCAAGUGACAGAUCCUAUUCAUUUAGGGUCUGUUUUU
rnacentral:other from 1 species